CUAGCCUGUCCCAGGCCCAGGAGAAGGAGCAGAGGUCAGUAUGCAGAGAAGGUGCACGCAAGGAACAAUGGAACUCCGCUGCUGAGCUGGCCAGAGCUGAGACUGGUCUCAACCCCAAAAACAGAGGUGUUUGUCUCUGAGCUCCUAUCCGAGUGGAUGCAUCUGCGCAUGCUUAUGUUUGAACACGUGCACACCGGAAUACCGGAGACGGCUGAGAGCAGCAGUUCUCCAGAGCUUAGUCCAGUGAGCCACUGCCUCCUCACAUCCAGGAAGGCCUUGAGGCCUUGAACUCCACAAAGCCAAGGUCAGCAGGGGCAGCUUCUUUGGAUGAUGCGGACAGAAGCUUUGAUGUCGACCAUCCCUGCUGCCCGUUUGCCAAUUUCUCCCGCUCCACGGCAAGUCAUGUCUUCUGAAUGAAGGCCAUCCCAAAAGGCAGCUGAGAUAUCCUUGUAGUUUCUCCCUCUACCAGCUGGUGCCCCAGUAAACGGUAGGGGCGAAGCCUGCCCUAGACCUUCUAUUUAAGGCUCCACAGAAAUUUGAAAAGCUGUCCAUUUCUCCAGCCUUUGCCUCAUGAGGGGAACAAAGAUAGAAUUGUAACAGCUUACGGGAAAGGGCCACAAAGAAUUUAUUUAUUCGUUUCCUGAUUUGAACCUGUGGGGGCUGCCUGGGAAUUCAGACCUUAGCUUCUGAAAGUGGGGCAGGCAGUAUACAGAGCACCCCGGGGUGUUUAGUUUGUCCUACAUCCUUCACACUUGGCCCUGGAACAAUCUUAACCUCUCCCUUCCCCACAUCCCUGCCUGCCUACUCUGGGCUCCAUACUGGUGCUCCUGGCCUCUGCAAUCCGCUGCUGUCACUCUCCCUGUAUUCUUCUGUGUCCUUCCAUCCCUAGGAGUCAGCUUCCUUCAGCUGGCUUCCCGCUGAGGCUGACACCUGCAGUGCUUACCUCUGCUGCUUAAAACACUCCCAUGAGGCAGGCCACUGAGCUUUGCGUGUAGAGCCCCAAAGUAGUUACCUAGCAAGGCUCUGUGCCGCAUCUUUUCAGCCCCUGGAUGUGCCCUCUCUUUGCUGAGGGUUUCUCAUAGAGUCCUGUGCUCCAGACAUGGCUUGUCUUACCUGUUCCAGUGUUUGAGAGUUAUUGUUCAUACUCACAGAGAGAUUUCAUCUCUCCAGAAGCCAUGGUCUUAGAUUCUAGAAGGCUCCUUUUUACCUCUUGAAUAAAAAAAAGAGAGAACUGG